AGGAGCCGUGCGAGAUGAAAGUCCUCAUGCACGGUUUUGCAUGAGAGAAAGAAGCGAGGAAUCCUCUUUUCGACUCUGAC
rfam:Hordeum vulgare subsp. vulgare, WGS project CAJW01000000 data, contig: morex_contig_1538152